UCUUGUUGUGGAGGACAUAAAUUUACGUGGAUAGGAAAUAGUUGAUUGGAGAACUCAGGUAUCUCCAGUUGGUGCAACACUCAUGCCAGGCCAGCUUGCCCUAUCUUGAAAAGAUCAUGGUGGACCAGAUGAAUGACUUCACGCACCUGUGGGGAAUCGGAAAAAAGAACUCAUCAAUUGUAGAUUUUUUUUUCCGGAGCUUAAACUUGGUACCUUAUGGUAGUUAUGAUAUCAUGGAAUUAGCAAAUCCUAAAUGCCAUCUUGUUUAUACUCUUAUUUGUGUGGAGAAGAUGCUUACUUGAUGGACCACUGAAAGUUCUUUCCCGUUCAGCUCGCUGACAAAGUGCAACAUCCGGCUCAGCCUUUGAGGAGCAGUCUUGCAAAUUUCUGUUAGCUCCCAAGCCUAAGCUCAAAGGUGAGGAG
rnacentral:lncRNA from 1 species